rnacentral:rRNA from 1 species
AUUGAACGCUGGCGGAAUGCUUUACACAUGCAAGUCGAACGGCAGCACGGGGCAACCUGGUGGCGAGUGGCGAACGGGUGAGUAAUACAUCGGAACGUGCCCAAUCGUGGGGGAUAACGUAGCGAAAGUUACGCUAAUACCGCAUACGAUCUACGGAUGAAAGCGGGGGAUCGCAAGACCUCGCACGAAUGGAGCGGCCGAUGUCAGAUUAGGUAGUUGGUGGGGUAAAGGCUCACCAAGCCGACGAUCUGUAGCUGGUCUGAGAGGACGACCAGCCACACUGGGACUGAGACACGGCCCAGACUCCUACGGGAGGCAGCAGUGGGGAAUUUUGGACAAUGGGCGCAAGCCUGAUCCAGCCAUUCCGCGUGCAGGAUGAAGGCCUUCGGGUUGUAAACUGCUUUUGUACGGAACGAAACGGCGAGCUCUAAUACAGUUUGCUAAUGACGGUACCGUAAGAAUAAGCACCGGCUAACUACGUGCCAGCAGCCGCCGCAG